rnacentral:rRNA from 1 species
UACAGAGGGUGCAAGCGUUAAUCGGAGUUACUGGGCGUAAAGGGCGCGUAGGCGGAUACGUAAGUGAGUUGUGAAACCCCUGGGCUUAACCUAGGACUGGCAACUUAUACUGUGUAUCUGGAGUACUGUAGAGGGUAGUGGAAUUUCCGGUGUAGCGGUGAAAUGCGUAGAGAUCGGAAGGAACACCCGUGGCGAAGGCGGCUACCUGGACAGAUACUGACGCUGAGGCGCGAGAGCGUGGGGAGCAAAC